rnacentral:rRNA from 1 species
UGCAAGUCGAACGCUGAAGCACUCUGCUUGCAGAGUGUGGAUGAGUGGCGAACGGGUGAGUAACACGUGGAGAACCUGCCCAUAAGAGGGGGAUAACAUCCGGAAACGGGUGCUAAUACCGCAUAGGUAUCCGACACGCAUGUGUCGGCUAUGAAAGACGGCUUCGGCUGUCGCUUAUGGAUGGCUCCGCGGCGUAUUAGCUAGUUGGUGAGGUAAUGGCUCACCAAGGCAGUGAUACGUAGCCGACCUGAGAGGGUGAUCGGCCACACUGGGACUGAGACACGGCCCAGACUCCUACGGGAGGCAGCAGUAGGGAAUCUUCCACAAUGGGCGCAAGCCUGAUGGAGCAAUGCCGCGUGAAUGAAGAAGGUCUUCGGAUCGUAAAGUUCUGUUAUCGGAGAAGAACACGUCGAGUAGUAACUGGCUCGACCUUGACGGUAUCCGACCAGAAAGUCACGGCUAACUACGUGCCAGCAGCCGCGGUAAUACGUAGGUGACAAGCGUUGUCCGGAUUUAUUGGGCGUAAAGCGAGCGCAGGCGGUCUUUUAAGUCUGAUGUGAAAGCCCACGGCUCAACCGUGGAUGGUCAUUGGAAACUGGAGGACUUGAAUGCAGAAGAGGUAAGUGGAAUUCCAUGUGUAGCGGUGAAAUGCGUAGAUAUAUGGAGGAACACCAGUGGCGAAGGCGACUUACUGGUCUGUUAUUGACGCUGAGGCUCGAAAGCGUGGGGAGCGAACAGGAUUAGAUACCCUGGUAGUCCACGCCGUAACGAUGAGUGCUAAGUGUUGGAGGGUUUCCGCCCUU